GAAAUGCGAUAAUUAAUGUGAAUUGCAGAAUUCAGUGAAUCAUCGAGUCUUUGAACGCACAUUGCGCCCCCUGGUAUUCCGGGGGGCAUGCCUGUCCGAGCGUCAUUGCUGCCCUCAGGCACGGCUUGUGUGUUGGGCUUCCGUCCCUGGCAACGGGGACGGGCCCAAAAGGCAGUGGCGGCACCAUGUCUGGUCCUCGAGCGUAUGGGGCUUUGUCACCCGCUCCCGUAGGUCCAGCUGGCAGCUAGCCUCGCAACCAAUCUUUUUAACCAGGUUGACCUCGGAUCAGGUAGGGAUACCCGCUGAACUUAAGA
rnacentral:misc_RNA from 1 species